CGCUGGCGGCGUGCCUAAUACAUGCAAGUCGAACGGUCUUUCUAUGGAAGCUUGCUUCCACUGAGAAGAUAGUGGCGAACGGGUGAGUAACACGUGGGUAACCUGCCCAUAAGAGGGGGAUAACAUCCGGAAACGGGUGCUAAUACCGCAUAGUUUUCUUGAUCGCAUGAUCGGGAAAGGAAAGACGGCCUUUGUGCUGUCGCUUAUGGAUGGACCCGCGGCGUAUUAGUUAGUUGGUGAGGUAACGGCUCACCAAGACGAUGAUACGUAGCCGACCUGAGAGGGUGAUCGGCCACAGUUGGGACUGAGACACGGCCCAAACUCCUACGGGAGGCAGCAGUAGGGAAUCUUCCGCAAUGGACGAAAGUCUGACGGAGCAACGCCGCGUGAGUGAAGAAAAGGUUUUCGGAUCGUAAAACUCUGUUGUCAGAGAAGAACAAGUUGGAGAGUAACUGCUCCAGCCUUGACGGUAUCUGACCAGAAAGCCACGGCUAACUACGUGCCAGCAGCCGC
rnacentral:rRNA from 1 species